rnacentral:rRNA from 1 species
AGAAUCAACGCUGGCGGCGUGCCUAACACAUGCAAGUCGAACGAGAAAGUGGAGCAAUCCAUGAGUAAAGUGGCGCACGGGUGAGUAACACGUGACUAACCUACCCUUGAGUGGGGGAUAACCUAGAGAAAUCUGGGCUAAUACCGCAUAAUACCUUCGGGUCAAAGGAGCAAUUCGCUUAAGGAGGGGGUCGCGGCCGAUUAGUUAGUUGGCGGGGUAAUGGCCCACCAAGACUAUGAUCGGUAUCCGGCCUGAGAGGGCGCACGGACACACUGGAACUGAAACACGGUCCAGACUCCUACGGGAGGCAGCAGUGGGGAAUUUGCGCAAUGGGGGAAACCCUGACGCAGCAACGCCGCGUGGAGGAUGAAGUCCCUUGGGACGUAAACUCCUUUCGAUCGGGACGAUAAUGACGGUACCGAGAGAAGAGCCCGGCUAACUUCGCGCCAGCAGCCGC